AUUUAAAUAUCUCAAUUAAGAGUAUAAUAUUGAAGUUAUUAAGGUGAUUAUAUAUUAAUCUUUAAAUA
rnacentral:tRNA from 1 species